CCCGGUUGAUCUUGCCAGUAGUCAUAUGCUUGUCUCAAAGACUAAGCCAUGCAUGUGUAAGUAUAAACGGAUUUAUACAGUGAAACUGCGGACGGCUCAUUAAACCAGUAAUAAUCUACUUGAUCGUAUUCUCUUACUUGGAUAACCGUAGAAAAUCUAGAGCUAAUACAUGCUAAAAAACCGGUGUCUCUGAUGCUGGUUGAAUUUAUUAGAUUAAAACCAAUGCGUCGAGCAAUCGGCGGACUUUUGGUGAUUCAUAAUAACUUUUCGAAUCGUACAGUCCUUUACCGGACGGGCGAUGAUACAUACGAGUUUCUGCCCUAUCAACUUUCGAUGGUAAGGUAUUGGCUUACCAUGGUUGUAACGGGUAACAGGGAAUUAGGGUUCGAUUCUGGAGAAGGAGCCUUAGAAACGGCUCCUACUUCCAAGGAAGGCAGCAGGCGCGCAAAUUACCAAAUCCCAACACGGGGAGGUAGUGACAAGAAAUAUCAUUAAUGGCGCUUUUGGCGUUCAUUAUAUGAAAUGAGUACAAUUUAAAAACCUUAACGAGGAACGAUUGGAGGACAAGUCUGGUGCCAGCACCCGCGGUAAUUCCAGCUCCAAUAGCGUAUAUUAAAGUUGUUGCAGUUAAAAAGCUCGUAGUUGGAUUUUGACUGGCUGUUGAGGACUUCAGCUCCGGCGCAAUGCUGUGAGCGACUCUCAGUCGGUCAGCUGAGCUGCUUGUCGGCUCGGCUUUUUCGAAUUGCACGCCCCGGUUACUUAAUCGUGCCGGGAGUUUGGGCAUCGAAUCGUUUACUUUGAAUAAAUUAGAGUGUUUAAAGCAGGCACAACCGGCCACUGAAUACUUUAGCAUGGGAUAAUAGAACAUGACUUUGAGACAUGUUUUGUUGGUUUUGCUUCUCAAAGUAAUGAUUAAAAGGGACAGUUGUGGGUAUUGGUAUUCUGUGGUCAGAGGUGAAAUUCUAAGAUUCACAGAAGACCGACUACUGCGAAAGCAUUUACCAAGGAUGUUUUCAUUAAUCAAGAACGAAAGUUGGGGGAGAGAAGGCGAUUAGAUACCGCCGUAUUCCUAACCAUAAACUAUGCCGACCAGGGAUUCGAAGGUGUUUUAUUUGAAUGACUCUUCGGGCACCUUGUGAGAAAUCACAAGUAUUUAGGUUCCGGGGGGAGUAUGGUCGCAAGGCUGAAACUUAAAAGAAUUGACGGAAAAUCGCUACAAUGAGUGGAACUUGCGGCUCAAUUUGACUCAACACGGGAAAGCUCACCAGCCCCAGACGCGGGCAGGAUUGACAGAUUGAUAGCUCUUUCAUGAUUCCGCGGGUGGUGGUGCAUGGCCGUUUUUAGUUGGUGGAGUGAUUUGUCUGGUUAAUUCCGAUAACGAACGAGACCUUAACCUACUAAAUAGUCCAGCGAGCGUUAUUGACUGGGUGCUGUCGGCGCCUCCGGGCGUGUCUUGGCGGCCUGGCCAGCUCGCUGCGUUUACUUCUUAGAGGGACCAAUCGCUAAAGCGAUAGGAAGCUUGAGGCAAAAAACAGGUCUGUAUGCCCUUAGAUGGGUUGGGCUGCACGCGUGUUACAAUGAUUC
rnacentral:rRNA from 1 species